rnacentral:lncRNA from 1 species
AUAUUAAGGUUGGAAGAGAAUGGGUGAAUUUGGCUAUAUUGGACACCUGGUUACCAGGGCUUCCUUCAAGUUUGGCAAAGUGGAGACUGUUGACAUCAACGGUUCCUUCAUUGACCUCAACUACAUGGUCUACGUGUUCCAGUAUGACUCUACCCAUGGCACGUCCAACAGCACAAAGUUGAGAACAGGGAGCUUGUCACCAACGGAAAGCCCAUCAUCCUGGAGUGAGUAAUAUCCAAUGGGGUGACGCUUGUACAGAGUAUGUUGUGGAGGCUACUAGAGACCACUUGACCCAUAAGGGUUAUCAUCUCUGCCCAUUCUGCUGAUGCCCCAAUUUUGUGAUGGGUGUGAACCAAGAGUAGUGUAACAACUCACCAAGACUGUCAAAACUGCUUUUUGUACCAGCAACUUCUUAGUCUCCCUGGCCAAGGACAUCCAUAAUAACUUUGGCAUUGUAGGACUCAUGAACAGUGUCCAUGUCAUGACACUGUCAUCACUGUCAUCCAGAAGACUGUAGAUGCCCCUCCCUGGGAAGAUGUGGCAUGAUGGCCAUGGGGCUGUCAAAACAUCAUCCCUGCAUCCACUGGUGCUGCCAAAGCUGUCGGCAUGCACAGAGCAGUACAGAAAACUCAUUGGCACGCCUCCCAAGUGCCCACAGUGAAUCUUGCAUGCUGCCUAGAAAAAGCUGCCCUCAGAAAGGCAGUGAAGCAGGCAUCUGAGGCCCACUGAAGGGCAUCCUGGGCUAUACCAACACUGGUGCCUACUCGUACAUCUUUGAGACUGGCAUUGCUGUCAAGGACAAAUGGAAAGCUCAUUUCCUGGGUGUGACAAAGAAUAGAGCUAUAGCAACAGGGUGGAUGACCUCACAGUUUAUAUGGCUGCCAAGGAAUAA